UGGGCGUAAGGGCUCGCAGGCGGUUUCUUAAGUCUGAUGUGAAAGCCCCCGGCUCAACCGGGGAGGGUCAUUGGAAACUGGGAAACUUGAGUGCAGAAGAGGAGAGUGGAAUUCCACGUGUAGCGGUGAAAUGCGUAGAGAUGUGGAGGAACACCAGUGGCGAAGGCGACUCUCUGGUCUGUAACUGACGCUGAGGAGCGAAAGCGUGGGGAGCGAACAGGAUUAGAUACCCUGGUAGUCCACGCCGUAAACGAUGAGUGCUAAGUGUUAGGGGGUUUCCGCCCCUUACUGCUGCAGCUAACGCAUUAAGCACUCCGCCUGGGGAGUACGGUCGCGAGACUGAAACUCAAAGGAAUUGACGGGGGCCCGCA
rnacentral:rRNA from 1 species